UGGGGAAUAUUGGACAAUGGGCGCAAGCCUGAUCCAGCCAUGCCGCGUGAGUGAUGAAGGCCCUAGGGUUGUAAAGCUCUUUCACCGGUGAAGAUAAUGACGGUAACCGGAGAAGAAGCCCCGGCUAACUUCGUACCAGCAGCCGCGGUAAUACGAAGGGGGCUAGCGUUGUUCGGAUUUACUGGGCGUAAAGCGCACGUAGGCGGACUUUUAAGUCAGGGGUGAAAUCCCGGGGCUCAACCCCGGAACUGCCUUUGAUACUGGAAGUCUUGAGUAUGGUAGAGGUGAGUGGAAUUCCGAGUGUAGAGGUGAAAUUCGUAGAUAUUCGGAGGAACACCAGUGGCGAAGGCGGCUCACUGGACCAUUACUGACGCUGAGGUGCGAAAGCGUGGGGAGCAAACAGG
rnacentral:rRNA from 1 species